GGGUCGUUAGCUCAGUUGGUAGAGCAGCGGACUUUUAAUCCGUUGGUCGAAGGUUCGAAUCCUUCACGACCCA
rnacentral:tRNA from 1 species